rnacentral:rRNA from 1 species
AGUGAACGCUGGCGGUAGGCCUAACACACGCAAGUCGAACGGCAGCACAGUAAGAGCUUGCUCUUACGGGUGGCGAGUGGCGGACGGGUGAGGAAUACAUCGGAAUCUACUUUUUCGUGGGGGAUAACGUAGGGAAACUUACGCUAAUACCGCAUACGACCUACGGGUGAAAGCAGGGGAUCUUCGGACCUUGCGCGAUUGAAUGAGCCGAUGUCGGAUUAGCUAGUUGGCGGGGUAAAGGCCCACCAAGGCGACGAUCCUUAGCUGGUCUGAGAGGAUGAUCAGCCACACUGGAACUGAGACACGGUCCAGACUCCUACGGGAGGCAGCAGUGGGGAAUAUUGGACAAUGGGCGCAAGCCUGAUCCAGCCAUACCGCGUGGGUGAAGAAGGCCUUCGGGUUGUAAAGCCCUUUUGUUGGGAAAGAAAAGCAGCAGGUUAAUACCCCGCUGUUCUGACGGUACCCAAAGAAUAAGCACCGGCUAACUUCGUG